CCUCCUUUUGUUGGCAUACAUGUGGUGGGUUCAGUGCACGUGUGUAAUGGGCGGAGGUAAAGAAAUGCCAGUGCUAUGUCUUCGGUGCCAGCAUGUUUAUUGUCUUCUGGUUCAAUCCUCAAUCAUUGGAACAAGC
rnacentral:snoRNA from 1 species